AUACGUAGGUGGCGAGCGUUAUCCGGAAUUACUGGGUGUAAAGGGCGCGUAGGCGGGCGUGCAAGUUAGAUGUGAAAACCUGGGGCUCAACUCCAGACUGGCAUCUAAAACUGCACAUCUUGAGUGUCAGAGGGGGAAAGUGGAAUUCCUGGUGGAGCGGUAAAAUGCGUAGAGAUCAGGAGGAACACCGGUGGCGAAGGCGACUUUCUGGCUGACAACUGACGCUGAGGCGCGAAAGCGUGGGGAGCGAACAGGAUUAGAUACCCUGGUAGUCCACGCUGUAAACGAUGAUUACUAGGUGUAGGGGGUAUCGUCUCCCUCUGUGCCGCAGUUAACGCAGUAAGUAAUCCACCUGGGGAGUACGGUCGCAAGAUUAAAACUCAAAUGAAUUGACGGGG
rnacentral:rRNA from 1 species